GUCCAGGGGCGGGAAUCGAACCCACAACCUUCUGCUUACCGGGCAGGUGCCAUGUCCACUAGACUACCCUGGA